AAGAGACAGCAGCAGCCGCGGUAAUACGAAGGGUGCAAGCGUUACUCGGAAUUACUGGGCGUAAAGCGUGCGUAGGCGGCUUCUUAAGUCGGAUGUGAAAUCCCUGAGCUUAACUUAGGAAUUGCAUUCGAUACUGGGAAGCUAGAGUAUGGGAGAGGAUGGUAGAAUUCCAGGUGUAGCAGUGAAAUGCGUAGAGAUCGGAAGGAACAUCUGUGGCGAAGGCGACUAUCUGGGCCAACACUGACACUGAGGCACGAAAGCGUGGGGAGCAAACAGGAUUAGAUACCCCUGUAGUCCCUGUCUCUUAUAA
rnacentral:rRNA from 1 species